rnacentral:miRNA from 1 species
CGUGCACAGGGCUCUGACCUAUGAAUUGACAGCCAGUGCUCAUCUCUCCUCUGGCUGCCAAUUCCAUAGGUCACAGGUAUGUUCACC